rnacentral:rRNA from 1 species
AGUGAACGCUGGCGGUAGGCCUAACGCAUGCAAGUCGAACGGCAGCACAGUAAGAGCUUGCUCUUACGGGUGGCGAGUGGCGGACGGGUGAGGAAUACAUCGGAAUCUACUUUUUCGUGGGGGAUAACGUAGGGAAACUUACGCUAAUACCGCAUACGACCUACGGGUGAAAGCAGGGGUUCUUCGGACCUUGCGCGAUUGAAUGAGCCGAUGUCGGAUUAGCUAGUUGGCGGGGUAAAGGCCCACCAAGGCGACGAUCCGUAGCUGGUCUGAGAGGAUGAUCAGCCACACUGGAACUGAGACACGGUCCAGACUCCUACGGGAGGCAGCAGUGGGGAAUAUUGGACAAUGGGCGCAAGCCUGAUCCAGCCAUACCGCGUGGGUGAAGAAGGCCUUCGGGUUGUAAAGCCCUUUUGUUGGGAAAGAAAAGCAGCAGGUUAAUACCCCGCUGUUCUGACGGUACCCAAAGAAUAAGCACCGGCUAACUUCGUG